ACAGAUCGUUCAGAGUUUGAUCCUGGCUCAGGAUGAACGCUAGCGGCAGGCUUAACACAUGCAAGUCGAGGGGCAGCGGGAUGUAGCAAUACAUUGCCGGCGACCGGCGCAAGGGUGCGUAACGCGUGAGCAACAUGCCCGUCACAGGAGGAUAAACCAUGGAAACGUGGCCUAAUACUCCAUAGUAUAUCAGAAAGGCAUCUUUUUGAUAUUAAAGCUACGGUGGUGACGGAUUGGCUCGCGUGACAUUAGCUAGAUGGAGAGGUAACGGCUCACCAUGGCGACGAUGUCUAGGGGAACUGAGAGGUUAAUCCCCCACACUGGUACUGAGACACGGACCAG
rnacentral:rRNA from 1 species